UCGGUAACCACAGGAAGUCGCGGCUCCCAGAACCUAUCUGGAUCUCCUUAGGGAAGGUUCCGGGAGCUGUGGAGCCAGCCACAGGCAUGGCUACAGUGGCAGCAGCAAACCAGCGCGCUGGCCAGUUUUCCUGGGGGAUGUGCCACUGACAUCAGCUGGGUUUUCAGUGGUAACAAAAGCAGGAGCUACCAGAAGAAGCUUCUCUCAGGUUCUCUUCAGAUUUAUGAGUUUACCACAAUAGAGGAUUUCUGCAAAGGUGUGCCAAACCCACAGAACAGAGAGACUAUAAUGUUGUAAGAUCACUAGGAUGGAAUUCAGGAACUCAGAGUCCAAGCCUAACUUCCUACUUGAAGUCACAUCAUCUCUGAACAAAAGCCACCAAGAGCUUUUGUAUGGUCUUGUAUGUUUGGUCCACAUGUGUGGGGAAAAGUUCUCUAGUGGAACCAGGGAGCAUUACCGUUCCCAUGUUAAAGAUGGAGCUGCUGACGCUCAGGAGAGUGACUUGCCCAAAGCCAAAAACAGAAGGGCUGGUGAAAUCACACACCUGUAAGGAUAAAGGAGGAUUUACAUUUUUGUAGAUUGGCAACUGCACAAGAAAGAGGUGAUCUUUCCAGUUAACUUUAGCAGGCUUCUUUCCACUUCUGCUUAAAAUGAUUUACAGCACC